rnacentral:rRNA from 1 species
GGAGGGUGCGAGCGUUGUCCGGAAUCACUGGGCGUAAAGGGCGCGUAGGUGGCUCGUUAAGUUGCCGGUGAAAUCCCGGGGCUCAACUCCGGGGCUGCCGGUAAGACUGGCGGGCUCGAGCACGGUAGAGGCAGAUGGAAUUCCCGGUGUAGCGGUGGAAUGCGUAGAGAUCGGGAAGAACACCAGUGGCGAAGGCGUUCUGCUGGGCCGUUGCUGACACUGAGGCGCGACAGCGUGGGGAGCAAACAGGAUUAGAUACCCUGGUAGUCCACGCCGUAAACGAUGGACACUAGGCGUCGGGGGGAGCGACCCCCUCGGUGCCGUCGCUAACGCAGUAAGUGUCCCGCCUGGGGAGUACGGCCGCAAGGCUG